rnacentral:rRNA from 1 species
GACGAAGGUGGCGAGCGUUACUCGGAAUUACUAGGCGUAAAGCGAGAGCAGGCGGUUUGGUAAGUCCGUCGUGAAAGCUCCCGGCUCAACCGGGAGAGGCCGAUGGAUACUGCCAGACUUGAAUACGGGAGGGGUGGCUGGAAUUCCUGGUGUAGCGGUGAAAUGCGUAGAUAUCAGGAGGAACACCAAAGGCGAAGGCAGGCCACUGGACCGUUAUUGACGCUCAUUCUCGAAAGCCGGGGGAUCAAACAGG